ensembl:snoRNA C/D box small nucleolar RNA (snoRNA); guides 2'-O-methylation of large subunit (LSU) rRNA at position C2959
GUUUAUGAUGAUUUCCACAUUUCACGACGGUCAACUGCGUUUUUCGAAUGUUUAUCGAUUAACUUUGAUGAUAUUUCGCCUGUGACAGGGCGUGGUACUGAGCUUU